GAUGAAGAACGUAGCGAAAUGCGAUAAGUAAUGUGAAUUGCAGAAUUCAGUGAAUCAUCGAAUCUUUGAACGCCCAUUGCGCCCGCCAGUAUUCUGGCGGGCAUGCCUGUUCGAGCGUCAUUUCAACCAUCAAGCCCCCGGCUUGUGUUGGGGACCUGCGGCUGCCGCAGGCCCUGAAAACCAGUGGCGGGCUCGCUGUCACACCGAGCGUAGUAGAUUUUCAUCUCGCUCAGGGCGUGCUGCGGGUUCCGGCCGUAAAAAGCCUUAUUUACCCAAGGUUGACCUCGGAUCAGGUAGGAAGACCCGCUGAACUUAAGCAUAUCAAUAAGCGGAGGA
rnacentral:misc_RNA from 1 species